CUCCCCUACUGUGUCUUCUGCUGGAACCUGAGAUGUGUUGGAUGAGAACACCUACCUUUCCUUCACAUAAAGAUGCAACACUGAGUCAGGGCGUUGGCUCUUCUCUUGAAUGUUUCGAUACUCAACAAUCAUUGUGCUGGACAAGACAGAAACAGCCGCCUGCUUCGGUUCCCUCUUUCAAGAGGUGUUUUCUAAAACCACCCUGGGAAACGGCAAGACGGAGAAGAAAAUGAAGCGUAAGCCAGUUCCGAUGGUUUAACAGCAGCGAGAUUAAUCUCUAAAUUCACCCCACCACCUGCCACUUUCACCCCUCACCUUCUCCAGUGAUUGCUGCCGCAGACCAUCAGGAUUUAGCCUUUCAGGCCAAACCGCCGCGAGGGAGUGCGUGUGGAGUGGCGGAGUCGCACGAGAAGGUUUCUAUCACCGAGCAGUCACUUCUUAUCUCUGCUACCUUUGAUGAGAGGAAAGUGGGGGGAGAUAGCGUCUGAAGGUCAGCUCUCAGCGCAGAGGCCCGACCCGAUAAGGACUGGCGGUUUACUGUGUAACAAGAAACCUUCUGGUGCUGAACCAACGACCAGGGCCGCACCGUGCUGGAACAAGAUAAAAUGGUGUCAAGGCAAGAUCAUCGUCGCUUUGUCUUGUGGACGAUGAAGUCAAACUUCCUCAGCAACGCGGCUGACCCGAUUCAACAAAUCAGCGCAGCAGAAUAACAUCACCUCGGAGCCAGCUUGUGUUGCCAGAUGGUUACUUCGCGUUCUUAUGAUUUAUACUCUUCGUCUGUGUGUGCUGUUCCACCACCGAGCGCUUGGUGUCAUUUGGGCCUCGCUUUGACUCAUUCCCUACGUGAUUGUCUACCUCACUCCACUUCUGGUGUUGACGUCCUCGGUUGUUCGUUCAUGUUCAUGUUCGGUUUUCUGCAGCUAAAAUUGAAGUACAGGAGUCCAAGGUGAAGCUGAAAUGUCAUCUGUCGGAAAUCAAUUGUACACUGUUUUCUACAUCUCUUACGUAGGACAAAGAAUGGGGAAGUAUGGAGGUCACACCCACCUUAACAUUCCAAGUGGGCCGUAAAACUGCAUCCUGAGGGCCCCAAAUGGCCCGCGGGUUGCAAUUUUUACAUCUCAUUGACUGAUAGUGAUAGUUCAGCCUGCUGAACUAGAUGGUGCAAAGCAUAUUGGGAUACUCAGAUACGAUUCAAAUGAGGAGUGGAGCAAAAAGAAGGUGAAAAACAAGUGGCUGAGCGAGUUUUUUUAGUUAAUUUUAUGUAACGCAUCAUUGUUUUAUGUGUAUAUAUACGUUUUCUUCUUUCAUUUUUUAACUUUAUUUUGUGUGUGUGUGUGUGUGUGUGCGUAUGUACGUACGACAAUAUCACUGACUGAAACAGCCACAUUAGCUUGUGAUUCAGACGCAAGACAACACGCUGUUAUAGUUGAGUAAUGUCCAUUUUAAUGCAGCCAGAACAUUACAGCUGUAACAUCUAUAACUGUGGCUUUAUCAUGUGUAUUAUCUGCAGUCUACAACGGGUACUAGAAUAUUCAUUACGGUUCACAUUCUUAUCGUUGUUUAUGUCUCAAAAAAAAGUUCAUUUCUAAAGCAAAAAAGAUGACGAUCCUAAGCGUAUUUUAAGUAUUUUUAUAACACAAUUAAAUCUAUAAUCUGACAGACUGAAGGCUCUGAAAGGACGUCACUCACGUCUUAAUCCGCCAGACGUGUGAUUUAUAUUGUUGUUUUUCAGUCAUUGAAAUCUAAUUUUCUUUAAUUGCUAAAUCCAGCAGAGCCGUCUCAAAAGGUGAACACAGCCAUUUAUCGGCCAUUAUGUUCCAUUCCGAGAUGCCGGCUGUGCUGCGGCGAUAACGCCAGCGGCGCCGAAUAAUAUUCCUCUUUAGAGUAUUUAAGUCACAAUGGAUUACAGGACACGUCGCCUCGAAAGGAUGAGCAAAUUGAAACAUUCAUGGAAAUGUGAAUUCUGGUAUCAUAAUGGAACCUCAAUGGCUUCAAACGGUCUCUUCUGUUUGCUGACAAACCUGUCACACAAGCGUUCCUCACCCUAAAGAUGUGAAUUCAAUUAGGUCUGUUUUAUCGUCUCCCUUUACUCAGACUGAAGAUAAGAGAGGGACUUGGCAGUUAUGAUAACAGUGAUGCAGGAGCAGCCAUAACCAGUUCCUCUUAUUCCUGCGUGAGGAGAAUGCUGCGGCCGCUGCUCUGGAGCCGGACUUGUUGGUGCAGUGGCUGGGAAGAUCUUGUUCUUGUCACCUGAUGACUGACGCUCUGAAGCUGGAGCUGCGAUGAACAUCGCCUCUGAGGUGAAGCUGAGACAACAAGACGUGCUAAACAAGACACUGAGGAGGGAAAGAACUGUAUAGGAGCAUGAGCAUCUCUCAGCACGUGCCAAAGAUUCUGAGCUGAGCUCAUGCCUCACUCUCGCUAUCUAAGUUUGUAACAGAUGAAUCCACAGACUGUCAUCUUGU